rnacentral:rRNA from 1 species
UACGGAGGGUGCGAGCGUUGUCCGGAAUCACUGGGCGUAAAGGGCGCGUAGGUGGCUUGGCAAGCGUGUGGUGAAAGCCCGGGGCUCAACCCCGGGUCUGCCGUGCGAACUGCUAUGGCUUGAGCACUGUAGAGGCAGGUAGAAUUCCGGGUGUAGCGGUGGAAUGCGUAGAGAUCCGGAGGAACACCAGCGGCGAAGGCGGCUUUCUGGUCCGAUACUGACGCUGAGGUGCGAAAGCGUGGGGAGCAAACAGG